ACGAACGCUGGCGGCGUGCUUAACACAUGCAAGUCGAACGGAAAGACCCUGCUUUUGUGGGGUGCUCGAGUGGCGAACGGGUGAGUAACACGUGAGUAACCUGCCCUUGACUUUGGGAUAACUUCAGGAAACUGGGGCUAAUACCGGAUAGGAGCUCCUGCUGCCUGGUGGGGGUUGGAAAGUUUCGGCGGUUGGGGAUGGACUCGCGGCUUAUCAGCUUGUUGGUGGGGUAGUGGCUUACCAAGGCUUUGACGGGUAGCCGGCCUGAGAGGGUGACCGGCCACAUUGGGACUGAGAUACGGCCCAGACUCCUACGGGAGGCAGCAGUGGGGAAUAUUGCACAAUGGGCGGAAGCCUGAUGCAGCAACGCCGCGUGCGGGAUGACGGCCUUCGGGUUGUAAACCGCUUUCGCCUGUGACGAAGCGUGAGUGACGGUAAUGGGUAAAGAAGCACCGGCUAACUACGUG
rnacentral:rRNA from 1 species